CCUACGGGAGGCAGCAGUCGAGAAUCAUUCACAAUGGGGGAAACCCUGAUGGUGCGACGCCGCGUGGGGGAAUGAAGGUCUUCGGAUUGUAAACCCCUGUCAUGUGGGAGCAAAUUAAAAAGAUAGUACCACAAGAGGAAGAGACGGCUAACUCUGUGCCAGCAGCCGCGGUAAUACAGAGGUCUCAAGCGUUGUUCGGAAUCACUGGGCGUAAGGCGUGCGUAGGCUGUUUCGUAAGUCGUGUGUGAAAGGCGCGGGCUCAACCCGCGGACGGCACAUGAUACUGCGAGACUAGAGUAAUGGAGGGGGAACCGGAAUUCUCGGUGUAGCAGUGAAAUGCGUAGAUAUCGAGAGGAACACUCGGGGCGAAGGCGGGUUCCUGGACAUUAACGGACGCUGAGGCACGAAGGCCAGGGGAGCGAAAGGGAUUAGAUACCCUUGUAGUC
rnacentral:rRNA from 1 species